rnacentral:rRNA from 1 species
CACGUAGGGCGCAAGCGUUGUCCGGAAUUAUUGGGCGUAAAGAGCUCGUAGGCGGACUGUCACGUCUGCUGUGAAAAGCUGGGGCUUAACCCUGGCCUUGCAGUGGAUACGGGCAGACUAGAGGUAGGUAGGGGAGAAUGGAAUUCCCGGUGUAGCGGUGAAAUGCGCAGAUAUCGGGAGGAACACCGGUGGCGAAGGCGGUUCUCUGGGCCUUACCUGACGCUGAGGAGCGAAGCCGUGGGGAGCGAACAGG